UCCAGACAGAGCACACCACCCUUCUUAACCUGGCUGUGAGUAACCAGAGGACACACCUUGCUCCUCUUCAGGGCUGUGUGCUCUCCUCCAGGAAAGAGGCACAGGCCUUUCCCCGCCCCAUCUUCCCCAAACUGUCACUUCUUCCAGGACUCAUAGACACAGCCCCUUAGGGCCAGCACCAGCCCCCCUACAUCAACCGUAUGGGGUCCCUGUGCACGAAGACGAAGCCUACCCCUUUAUACGCAGUGCUCACUUUUCGCCAUCUUCGGCACCCCCCUACCUUGCCCUUCAGACUGGAAACCUGUGGCAGUGGCAGGGCCAGGGGUAUUGUCACAGCAACGGCUGGGGCUGGGGCGGAGCCAUGGUCUUUGCACAGUCUGGGCAGGCUGUGAGACCGGGCACAAGUAGCACCUGUAGCCACCUGCUUCCAGUGCCUGCUUUGUGCCAGUUCAUGCUGGUCUGUUGCUCCUCAGAGGCAUGGCAGCAAGAGGCUGCGGACAGCCAGAGGGCAGGAGGAGCAGGCAAAGGAAGGAUGCUCUGUGUUGCCAGGCGCAGGGCACGGAGGAGCCACACAGUCCUCUGCAGGCAUGGCUGCUCCAGGACAGGCUGCGUGUCCCUCAUGCCCUGCCCUGAGCUGCCAGGGGAGCCAGGAGCUGCAGGCUGCGGGGCUUGCUGCGGGUGUACCCACCUCUCCCAUUUGUGUUCACUUCAGAGAGUGAUCCGUGGGCGUCGAACACCAGAGGAUUUCUACGAGUCAAAGUACCUCCAGAGGUGUCUGAGGCUUCAAAGCCUGCCGAUGCUCUCUCUGGCGCUCAGAGCCCUUGUCAUGGAGUCAGAGAGAUGUGAAGCGGUGAGGGAAGUGCGGGUCCUGCUGCCAGAAGUCAUGGAGACUCUGCAGUAUGACAACACACACAUCACUGAGAAGGCCCUGACUGUCUUCGAAAACGUGAUCGGUCAUCUGGAGAAGAGGGAGGCCAGCCCCAUCGCUCUGGCACUGGCUGAGAGACUCCUGCCUCUUUUUAACAACGUAAGGCUGCUGUGGGUGACUGAGCCCUGCAGACGGGCACUCCGCAAUGGCGUUGCCCUUCAGCCCAGGCCUGUGGGCAGCACUCGGGCAGGGCCUUCUUCUCUCUCUGCUCCUCUGGGCACUUGUGGGCUGUCUUCUGGGCUCUGCAGUCCAACAGGGCUUCUCCCUGUCAGGUUGACAACUCAGCACAGUCAAAAGUUCCCUGUGCUGAGGCAGAAAGGCAGAAGCUGAGGAGACAGAGUGUGCCCCAGAAGCCUUAUCGAAGGCCAGCCAUAUAUCCUCCUCAGCCCUUUCCUUGGGUGAGCUGUACUUUGACAUGGCUGGUGCAGCUAGUAGUAAAAGUGGGCUGGCUUGGAGCACACUCUACGGUACAGGCACCCCGUGCAGGAAACCUGUUAGUUUGCCUUGUGUGGGCCUCCAGCUCCUUUGUUCGCAAUACAAGGCUUCACCCUUCACAUCAGCCACCCUACGGCCCUUGCUCCCCAUGGGCAGGGGAGGCUGGCAGUUGCUGAAAUCCUCCUUUUGUCCUCCUUAGCAGGUGUCCAGUGAGGUGCGGGAGCGCUCCAUGCUCCUCUUCAAAGACCUGAUGGAGUCUGUGGUGUGGUGGAAAAAAGGAGCAAUGAAAACGACCGUGCGCAGGGCCCUUAUUCCACUGUUGUUCCGGAUGAGUGACGAGACUCAGAGCGUGGCCAAGGUACAGAUUUCACACCUGGCCGUUGAUGUGGGCACUGGGUGUGCUGACACCAGAGGGGUAUUCUGGGCAUGGGGGGGGGCAGGGCAGCAGGCAAUCAGACACUUUAGAGAUGUGUGUGCGGUGCCAUCUCCCUGCCUCUGCUUCUCCACAGGCCUCUGCAGUAGUCCUACUUGCCUGUGCAAAGUUCCUGAAGUGGAAACAGCUUGAGCAGCUGACUCAGACUGAGGACAUCUGGAGGAUUUGGGAGUACUUGGUAAGGAGAACCGCCCAGCCCCAACCCCAGAUGGACAAGCCUGCCCGACAUGCCCAGGCUGCUGCAGCCCAGAGCCCACCAGUUGCAGCUGCAUUGUGGCUCCCUUCCCUCCAGCACAGAGCCCCGGGGGGGCUCUUCUGCAGGCCCCUUGACCCUCCCCUCCCCCGAUGCUGGAGGAGACCCUAGCUCAUCUGGGCCUUGGCAGCGGGACAGAAGGGUCUCCUAACUCUCUCCAAACCUCGGCCCCACAGAGCUCCUGGCUGGGAGCUGGGGAUGGCCUGGGGGAAAGGGGGAGGGGGGUGCUGGCAGGAGGGACUGGUCCGGCUGGCUGGGGAGGGUAUGUGAGCCCCGCGCCCUUGUGCUUUCUCCAGCUCAAGCAGAAGAGCAGCAGGGUGGACGAAUACCUGCAGCAGAGCCUGCCAUACCUGGAGGAUGCUCAGGCCAACUUGCGACAGGAGGCUGUCAAAUUCAUCGGUGAGUCCAGGCCCCGCUUCCCUGUCUGGGCCCUGCCCUGGCAGCAAGGCGCAGCCCUGUGGGCCCUGAAGCCCCUGAUUGUAGCCCCAGGAGCCCUGUGCCUCCCUCAGCCCCCUGCCCAUGCAGGUGGGCCUGGUGUGUGCCUUGCUCAAGCUCCCCCUUAGGCUCCGUCCUUGGCGGGGAGCUGGAGGGGACGCAGCCAGGCUGGCUGGACAUGGGGCUGUGCUGGGAAGCAGGCUCUGACCGUAACACUGUGCCUAGGGCUUGCUGUCUACCAUGCUGGCAUCCAGAGUGAGGAGAAGCUGAAUGAGCUCAUCCAAGGUGAGUGCGGGCGGUGCUGGGGGUGCUGCGCCCAGUGGAGAGGGGGCAGAGCCCACGCAGUGUGCAGCCAUGCCUUGCCCUGCUCCAGGGAAAUGCUGCAGUGGCAGAGGGAUGUGGGGGGACAUGUGGGAUGCUCCUGAGCAGCAGCUUCCAGCUGAUCCCUUUAUCCCACUUGCUCCCCGUGGCCAGGGAAGGAGACAGGUGGGGCUGGCAUGGUCUGGAGGCAUGCCGGGGGGGUCUCUGCCAGUCGAUGGGUUUCAUCUCUGCUCACUUUCUUACUGUCACAGCCCUCCAGCCUUUGGAAGAUGAUGCCCAUGAGCGGAUCCGUCACCUGGCAGCUGGGACCAUCGAGAUCCUGAGACAUCAUAGGCAGCAGCCAGCAUCACAAAGGACUUGGCUCGCAGCACUGUGCUGCUGGCCCUGAAAAGCCAGGGGUCUGUCGAGCUCCCCUGCAAAAAAUGUGUCUUUAUAAAACUGUGUAGUGUGUUUACGUGGCAAGGUUUUGGUAUCAGUGGACCAUAGGGUUGGCUUCUGUGAGAAGAAUCUAGAUGCCCCAUGUUAGAUAAGGGCCCUGCUGCUGACCAGAGCCAAGCCAAUAAACGAUGUUGUUUGUGCCUCUGCA
rnacentral:lncRNA from 1 species